rnacentral:lncRNA from 1 species
CGGGCGCACCGCCGCCUCCGCUCGCCCCACGCCCGGCGGCAGAGCUAGCGACGGGGCGAAGUCCAUCACGUGCCACCAGGUCAAAGAAGUGAGAGACACUGAAGCCAUCUGCUUGCACCUCAAGGAGUCCGACACUUGUAAACAUUUUUUGGAGAUGAAGGGAUCCGAGCUAUGGAGUGCAAUAUGUGAAGAGGGCGCGCACCGUGUUCCU